rfam:Ovis aries breed Texel chromosome 4, whole genome shotgun sequence.
UCCUUGGUGGUCCAGUGGCUAAGACUAUGGGCUCUCAGUGCAGUAAGCCCAGGUUCGAUUCCUGGUCAGAGAA